UGUUGUGUGGCUUAGUUGGUUAAAGCAUCGGACUAGCGAUACGAAGUCGUGGGUUUGAAUCCCUACGAAACAG
rnacentral:tRNA from 1 species